UACCUUCCUCGCCUGUCUGCGCAGGCGCUAACCAGGAAAGGAAGGUUUCGGGUAGAUUGUUGGUUAAGAAGAAAGCUGGGAAAGUAAAGGAGAGGGGGAAGAAAGGAAGUGAAAAGACUUUGGCUGUUAGAAUCUCAGAUCUGGAAUAGGCUGUAUAUAGGCUGUUUAUAAUCUCUAGUUGCCGAGGAACCUGAAGUUCAGAGUUAACCAGUGACUGACUCAGGACAUGCAAAAUGGCAAGACCCGAGGUAGAAGAGCUUACCUUUCCUGACUCUCAGUUUCCUGUUCCCUGAAAAUGUCAGCUAAGCUGGCAGCCCUGGUGAGUCCGGGGAAAGAAGGAGGCGUAGCCCUCAGCGCUCAGGAGGUCCAGGGCCCAGGAGAGAGAAAAAGGGGGACAAGGACGAGGGCAAAAGUGGAGAAGAGAAACCAAAAUAGGGGGUGUCCCAAGUAAAUAAACGUACGUCGAGCCCGCCAACCACAUUCUCUCAUAGGGACCCUUGCGCCCGCUGUUCGCAUUUCCCGGAAUGCACACUCAGGUGUCUGCACCAGCUCAAGUCUCUGCUCAAAAGUGACCUCUUCGGAUAAAACUUCUCUGACCAUCCUAUCCAACGUGCAAGGGGGAGGUACAUGGAAGGCCACAGGAAGAAACAAGAUCUUGAGCUGAGCAAGAACAUCCCAGCAUCUUCACUGACUUUAAAAGUAUAUUCUGGAGUCUUCUGUGGUUCACUAUUCCAGUGCUACAGAGAUGUCAGAUAAGGUUGACUGGUUACAAAGCCAAAAUGGAGUAUGCAAAGUUGAUGUCUAUUCUGGAGACAACCGAGCCCAGGACUGGAAAAUGGACACCUCCACGGAUCCUGUCAGAGUGCUCAGCUGGCUCCGCAGAGACCUGGAGAAAAGUACAGCAGAGUUCCAAGAUGUUAGGUUUAAACCCGGAGAAUCAUUUGCUGGGGAAACGUCCAACUCAGGAGACCCACACAAAGGUUUCUCUGUAGACUAUUACAACAACACCACCAAGGGCACUCUAGAAAGAUUGCAUUUUGAGAUGACUCACAAAGAGAAUCCUUGCCAGGGCCCCAGGGCCCAACUUGGCAACGGGAGUUCAGUAGAUGAAGUUUCCUUCUAUGCUCACCGCCUCACGAAUCUGGUCAUAGCCAUGGCCCGCAAAGAGAUCAAUGAGAAGAUCGAUGGUUCUGAAAACAAAUGUGUCUAUCAGUCAUUGUACAUGGGGAAUGAACCCACACCCACCAAAAGCCUCAGUAAGAUAGCAUCAGAGCUUGUGAAUGAGACCGUCUCUGCAUGUUCCAGGAAUGCUGCCCCAGACAAGGCUCCUGGCUCUGGAGACAGAGUCUCAGGAUCAUCACAAAAUCCCCCAAAUUUGAAGCACAAGUCCAUUUUGAAGAUCAAGAAGAGCACCAAAGAAAGACAGAGUCCAGACGACAAGCCUGCUUCUAAGAAGUCCUUCUUCUAUAAGGAAGUGUUUGAAUCUCGUAAUGGAGAUUAUGCCAGAGAGGGUGGAAGGUUCUUUCCUCAGGACAGAAAGAGGUUUCAAGGGCAGGAAAGGCCUGAUGACUUUACGGCUUCUAUUAGUGAAGGGAUCAUGACCUAUGCUAACAGUGUGGUGUCUGAUAUGAUGGUCUCCAUCAUGAAGACCCUGAAGAUCCAAGUGAAAGACACAACCAUUGCCACCAUCCUACUGAAGAAAGUUCUGCUCAAGCAUGCAAAAGAGGUGGUCUCGGAUCUCAUCGACUCCUUCAUGAGGAACCUCCACAGCGUCACAGGGACCCUCAUGUCUGACACACAGUUUGUCUCGGCUGUGAAAAGAACUGUCUUCUCUCAUGGAAGCCAAAAGGCCACAGAUAUCAUGGAUGCCAUGCUAAGGAAGCUGUACAAUGUAAUGUUUGCCAAGAAAGUACCUGAGCAUGUCGGGAAAGCCCAAGACAAGGCUGAGAGUUAUUCCCUCAUCUCCAUGAAAGGAAUGAGUGAUCCUAAAAAUCGAAAUGUGAACUUUGCCAUGAAAUCUGAAACUAAAUUGAGAGAAAAAAUGUAUUCUGAACCCAAGUCAGAGGAGGAGACUUGUGCCAAAACUCUGGGUGAGCACAUUAUCAAAGAGGGGCUUACCUUGUGGCACAAAAGUCAGCAGAAAGAAUGUAAAUCUCUAGGUUUCCAGCAUGCAACAUUUGAAGCUCCCAACACACAGUGUAAGCCUGCAUCAGACAUUUCCUUUGAGUACCCUGAAAAUAUUGGCAACCUCGGCCCUCCUCCAUAUCCCCCAGAGAAACCUGAGAAUUUUAUGUAUGAUUCAGACUCCUGGGCCAAGGACCUGAUCGUGUCUGCCCUUCUUCUGAUUCAAUAUCACCUGGCCCAGGGAGGAAGAAGGGAUGCACAGAGCUUCGUUGAAGCUGCUGGUACCACCAACUUUCCUGCCAAUGAGCCUCCUGUAGUUCCUGAUGAAUCCUGCCUUAAGUCUGCUCCCAUUGUAGGUGACCAAGAGCAAGCAGAAAAGAAGGACCUAAGGAGUGUUUUCUUCAAUUUCAUCCGGAACUUACUUAGUGAGACCAUUUUCAAGCAUGACCAGAGCCCUGAACCCAAGGUGCCAGAACAGCCAGUUAAGGAAGAUAGGAAGUUGUGUGAAAGACCGUUAGCCUCUUCUCCCCCCAGACUAUAUGAAGAUGAUGAGACCCCUGGUGCCCUUUCUGGGCUGACCAAGAUGGUUGUCAACCAGAUAGAUGGCCACGUGAGUGGGCAGAUGGUAGAACAUCUGAUGAACUCAGUGAUGAAGCUGUGUGUCAUCAUUGCUAAGUCCUGUGAUUCUUCGUUGGCAGAGCUGGGAGAUGACAAGUUGGGAGAUGACAAGUCUGGAGAUGCCAGUAGGCUAACUUUGGCCUUCCCAGAUAGUUUAUAUGAGUGUUUGCCAGUCAAGGGCACAGGGUCAGCAGAAGCUCUCCUGCAGAAUGCCUAUCAAGCUAUCCAUAAUGAAAUGAGAGGUAUAUCAGGACAGCCCCCUGAAGGGUGUGCAGCACCCAAGGUGAUUGUCAGCAAUCACAACCUAACGGAUACAGUUCAGAACAAGCAGCUCCAAGCCGUCCUUCAAUGGGUAGCUGCCUCUGAGCUCAAUGUCCCUAUUUUGUACUUUGCUGGUGAUGAUGAAGGGAUCCAGGAGAAGCUACUUCAGCUCUCAGCUGCUGCUGUGGACAAAGGAUGCAGCGUGGGCGAGGUUCUGCAGUCAGUGCUGCGCUAUGAGAAGGAGCGCCAGCUGAACGAGGCGGUGGGGAAUGUCACACCGCUGCAGCUGCUGGACUGGCUGAUGGUGAACCUGUGAUUGGCAACCCCACUGCUUUCCCCUCUUCUGGCAGUGGGGCCGGCCCUUAUCCCCGCCCUUCUUUCUCACUUCCACAUCUCCCCCUCUAUAUCCUCACAGAGCCCUAACAUUAUCUUCAUACCACUCUCAUCAAAGACAUGUCACCUUAUGCUAGUCACUGGAUUUUGCAGAUUUUCCUGUCCAUGCGAGCAAGGACGUAAAAUUAAAAAAUUACAAUUAAAGGGCUCCACAUGUUUUGUUUCCUUGGGACAAUCAGGUAAAGAAAUCCCAGGAGUGAAAAAAAUAACCAGAUGAAUGGCAGGGGUGAAACAGAGCUGGACUGAGAGGCCCUGCUGAAGGUCACUCAGCCUGUCCGCUGUCUGUGUCACAAUUUGCAGCUUCCUUAUUUAAACUGUGCUCUUAAAGUAAGCCACAGUUUAUCAAGAAUUCAUUUUAACCUUUUAUAACCAUGAAAAUCAGAAGAUACUUUCGAAUAUUCAAUCAAAAUCAUCCUGAUUACAAUGUUGAAGACUUGGCUUCUUAGUCUCUGUACAGCUGCAGAACAGUGUCCACCUCCAACUUCAUCCAUGGUUGAAGAUCGUGUCAAGAAUGUUCCCAAGGAUCUGAGUUCUAUUGCUGGUUUUGUGGCUUUCUGGCUAUAGAAACUGCGGGCCUGUCAUCAGGAUGAAGUUAACCAUAGUGAGAAGCAAGGCUAAUAGAUGAAGAGGGAGUCUGAGCCCUACAACCUCAUUUGAAUUCCUGGAUCCUGCUGUGCCUGAAACUACAUCUACCCUUUCUGAUUCUCCACUUACUUAAGUCCAUAAAUGUCUUCCGUUGUUUAAAAUGC